rnacentral:sRNA from 1 species
ACAAAGGAAGAAGAAGAAAAAAAACAAACCCUAAC